ensembl:lincRNA
AAAAAAAAAAAGCAUGAUGUUUGAGUUUAGAACAAGAUCGUCUCAGUUUGAAUCCUGGUCAUGACUUUAUCAGCACUGUGACCUUAGACCAAUAGCUGCCUCCUCUUGUGGCUCAGUUUCCCCUUCUAGAAAAUGAGACUAUCAGAUCAAUCUCUUCCCAGGGUUGCGAUAGGGAAGUGGCCGGGUUACUAGGUAUUAUGAAGCCCUUCCUGGCGGGGAGGACGCCAUAGGACAGCAAGAGUUACCAACUUUGAAAAUUCACUUUCCAGAGGAUUAGCUCAAGGCUACCAGCAGGGGGCAGCAGAGAACCAUGCCUGCGCCGGUUGCGGAGCCCUCAUCCCAAAUCGUCGGGCGUUUAUCGAGCGUAGAUUGUCUGCUGAGCCGGGCGCUGGGGAUUUGGGGAGCUAGCGGGGCAACUACCGCGGCUUCUGUACUAGAAUAUGCAAAAGCCACCCAGUCCAAACUUUGCAGCCGGACCCUGAAGCCUGCAGAGUCUCCGCUGCCGCCCCCUCCCUUCUUCUCUUCCGGGGUUGCUUCCUGCCUCGGCCUUCCAGAGGAUGUAAGCGGGGCGCGUGGGGUCACAUCGAAGACGAAGUAGCACGCGAACCCGGUCUUCAGCAUUUGCGGAACAACCCAAGAAUUUUGCGUUCUCUCCCCAAGGCCCUGGUUUCCCGUCUGUAAAAUGGGGCUGAGCGGAGAAUGCGCCAUCUAGAAUUAUUGUGCAGGUCAAAAUUAAUGAACGUGAAUGUGAAUUCCUGGGCAUCCCUCCUGCAGACUUGAGCGUCAGUAAGCAUUUGUUAAGCAUCUACUGUGUGCCAUGGCAUGUCCUGGGGACACAGUAAGGGAACCUAAGGAACCAAUCUUCCCGACCACGCCCUCAAAGCUUCGCCACACGCCAAACCCCCUACCUCGCCGGGCAGUUUCAGUCCCUCCGUCCAGCUCCGCCUGCUCCCCACCCCCUCUCUUUCCAGAGCCUAUGGGAGCUAGGUGGAUGGGGGAUUAUCUACAUAUUCAUGAGGUCACCAGCCAAUAUACAGCCAGAACUCGGGUUUGUCUUCAGAGCCUAGGUGAUUGUGACGUCACAGUGACGCCUUUUGCGAUCCUUAAAGACGCAGUAACCUCUCCUAAAGAAGGAAGGCUGGAGACGCAUCUCCUGAUUCCCUUUGGGGUUUGGAAUGUGCUCCGGCCCAAGACCCAGAGGCUCCGUGCAGCCGAGCAAUGCGAGGAGGGCGCACUGGGGACCGUUCCAACCUCAGGCUGUGGGGACACGGAUUUUUGUCCCCUCCUCUCCCUCCAGGUGGUCCAGCCGCUUCACCGCCCACCGGGACUUGUUCCCUCACCUCUGCCCUGGUCCCUGGACUCUGUCACAACAAACCCUGCAAAGACAACAUCACGGGAUCUGUGUACCGAUGGGGAAUUCGGGGCUAAAUCCAGUGAGAGGGGAGAGGCUAGCUCCGCACUCUUCAGGGACACCUUCCAGGUGAUGGCCAGAUCUGUCCUUUGGUCAAUGCUACAUUGCCUGGACUAUGUACUGACAGCGGCUGGCUAGGACAGGUUUUAAACUUUACCAGCCCCAUGAUCUCUGAUGCAACUAUUCAGCUCUGCUGUGAAACCAGCCACGUGUAAGUGAAUGCGCAGGCUGUGUUACAAUAAAAUUUAUUUACAAGACAAGCAGCUGCCUGUGUUUGCAUAUGCCUUACCCACUUCUAACCUGUCAAACUGUUCAGAUUCCUGAUCUCGGUUAUAGUAGGUCUUGGAAUCAGAGAGAUCUGAAUGUUUUUAUUUAUUUAUAUUUUGGGGGGGCAGUCUUUUUGAGACAGGGUGUCGCUAUGCACUUCAGGCUGGCCUUGAGCUCACUUUGUAGCCCAGGCUGGUCUCGAACUCGCAAUGAUCCUCCUGCCUCAGCCUCCCAAAUGCUGGGAUUACAGGCGUGCGCCACCAUGCCCGGCCUGUCCUGCCUUUUGAGCCAGAUUGGAACGAGUUUGUGGCACUCACAGGGCAAGAUAAGACCUAAGAUAAGGCAUUUAGGGAAACUACAGUCCCCUUAUUGCCUGCAUCUUGUCCUUGUCCUUGCAAAAAUGCUGUGUUCCCGGGCGUGGUGGCUCACAGCUGUAAUCCCAGCACUCAGGAGGCUGAGGCAGGAGGAUCACUGUGAGUUCCAGGCCAGCCUGAACUGUGUAGCGAGACCCUGUCUCAAAAAGAUAAAAAAGAAAAAAGCCUCUUCCUGGCCCACCAUAGUCACCAUUACUGUUCCUGGAAACACUCACUGCCCUUCACCCGCUGACCCUGACUCAGACGUAAUGAAUAAUCACCACGGCUCUGGGGUGGGGACGCAGCUCAGCGACACAGCGCCUGCCUGGCAAGUGUGAGGUCCUGAGUGCAAUCCCCAGUACCAAAACCAAAACCAAACCAAGGUUCUGGGUACCUCGUGGCUUUUUGCUCCCCACGAACAACUGGUCGUCCCAGAUCCCUGCUGCACCCCUGUUUGGCUUCUUACUCUUUCUUCCCAGCGUGCGCGGUGACACUUGGCAGGAGACUGGGGACUCACUGCAGGGGUCCCCAGUAAGUGGUGCCAUGGAAAGAUCUCCGCUGUCUCAGCACUGUUUUAAUUUGCAUGUCUCGGAUGACCAGUGAUGUUGGACAUUUUUUCAUAUAUUUAUUUGCCAUUUCUACUUCUUCAUCUGAGAAGUGUCUGUUCAUUUUAGAUGCCCAAGACAGAUCCAAAUUUGUCCCAACUUUGUUCUUCUUUUUCUAUUCCUCUGCCUUUCCAUAUAAAUUUCAAAAUAAGCUUGUUAACAGUUACACAGAGCUAAAUUUAAAAGAAAACAAAACAGUUACACAAAGCGCUGCUGUGUCUCUUUUCUCUUUUUACCGUGCUGGGGAUGAACCCAGGGCCUUAGCACGUGCUAGGCAAGUGCUCACCACUUACUACACCCAGCCUUGAAAUUAGAAAAGAGAGAUAGGGAGGGGCUAGAGUCCCACAUCCUCUUCAAGGCCACACCCCCAAUGACCUUGCUUCCUCCCACUAGGCUCCGCCUCUUAAAGGUUCUACUACCUCCAAAUUGGGCUAAGCUGGGAACAAAAUCUUCAACACAUAGGUCUUUAUGAGACACCAGAUCUGAACUAGAGCACUUGCUACAGAUGUCCCCCAGGCCCCUCCUGCUGGUAUAGUUUAGAUGAGGAGUCUCCUGUGGUUCUUACCUCUCACCACCACUCCUACCCCAUAUGCCAUGGGCCUUUUUUUUUCUUCUGAGACAGGGUCUCACUAUGUAGUUCAGGCUGGCCUCGAACUCGAGGUGUUCUUCCUGCCUCAGCCUCCUUAGUGCUAGGAUUCUUACUCUUUCUUCCUACUGUGGGUGGCUCUGCCAUGAGCCUUUCUUUCUUUUUUUUUUUUUAAACCUCUUCUGCCCCCAAGAAUAAUCUCUUUGGGUUGGGCUGGGGCUCCGUGGUGAGCACUUGCCUAAUGAGUGCAAAGACCCUGGGGUCCAGUCUCAGCACUAUGACAAUAAUAAUAGCAAUAAUUGUUUUAUACUUAAUUUUCUGUAUUUUAGUAUUUUGUCACACCUGCUAGGGAAGUGCUCCCCACUGAGCUACACCCCAGCCCUUUUUGUUUUUGAUUUUUGUUAGGUUGGUUUUUUUCCAGUACUGGGAAUCGAACUCACGACCUCGUGUUUGCCAGGCAAGUGCUGUGCCGCUGAGCUAAAUCCCCAGCCCCCCCCUUUUUAUUUGGAGACAGGAUCUCACUAAAUUGCCCAGGCUGGACUUGAAUUUACAUUCCUACUGCCGCAGCC